AGUUUUUUCCUUUCCAAUUGCCUUGAAAUAUAAUAUUCAUGGACACUUAGAGAUAAAACUAUCUGUGGAAAUUCAAUCACACUUUUAAUUAUCUCUUACGCCAGUUUCCGCUGAUGCCGUUAUCUAUCGCGUAUAUUUCCAUAACAAGAUCUUAUAAACGAUGUACAACGUACAUAAGUACUUGCCACUACCGCUCAAAAGCAUUGGGUCACUUCGGACGAUUUAAUUCAUAAUUUAUUUAUUAUUUAUUUAUUUAUUAUUUAAUGCGUCAAAAUAUCCAUAGCGUAGCUUUACAACAUGCACUUUUGUGAUUAAAGUACAUCCUAUGAAUAAUAAAGAUCAAGUAUCUGAAUACUUUUGAGCGAUAGUGUACACACGUACACCGUCAGCACGAGUUUACGCUACGUUUGAUCGUAAUUAAAGAUGAGAUUCAGCGACAGAGAGGAGCAAGAUAAAAAGAUGUGAAAGAAUGCCGUAACCUCGGUGUUAAUGAUACAAAAUACAAUGCGGGCACGGCAACGAAGAAUUUCAUAGUUGAGCGAACGUUUCGCGGUAACAGGAGUGCAUUAACCAUUAACAUACUUUACUAACAAACUUUUGAACUAUUUCACCGUGAAAUAACAUCUGUUCAGCCGUGUCACUGUCCUCGAGACGGCCGUUUUUUCGUCCGAACAUCUGGACGGUAGCGUUGAGUGACCUCUCGCGACUAUAGAUAAAGUAAUUUCUUUAAUUAAUGUGGGUCGCCUUGGACUUUUUCCGCGAUAUCGAGCCCAAGGCGCCUUUUUACCAUUCCCGCUGAUGUCCAGCGCGGUAUGAAACUUCGAUACGAAACAAGGUGACCAACACGCGGAGAGAAAAGACUUCAAUACGAGUAACGGUGUAGAGAAACGCUCUGGUGCCCGCCUAAGUUAUUCGUUAUAUGUAUGCGUACCAUACUGGUUGUUCAUCGUGCGGUCAGCCAGGCGUAUAAUCGUAGUACAGGUCAUGGUUAUUUCUUCGAGGUAGGUCAACCCAGCUUUCAGGAUUGCUCGAUUUCCGCGAUACGAUUGAUAAGCUGAUCGAUAAAAGGGUGUACCCUGUCAACUCUCUAGAUGUCUUAUUAAUAUGCUAAUUUAGCGAGUAUUUAUGCAAGAUCAUAUUUUUACGAAUACGAUUAAAAGUAUGGAAUCUUGGUAGAGAAUUGUUUUAUGUUGAAAUUUAUAGUUAUUUAUUAAUUAUUAUCCAGGAAGGGGAAAUUUCAGAUACACAAAUCUUUUAUGAACAAUGUAACUUAUCGAAUUACUUUUGUCUUUUAUAAUUACCAAAGAGUCAUUGAACUCACACUAGUAUUAACAUAAUUGAGGAAUAGGGAAAUAAUUUGCCGGUAGAAGGUAGAAGGUACAAUCAACAAUUUCAUUUACAUGAUCCAUCAUUAUUUAAUAUUCCGUUAUAGUAACAAGCAACAUUCAAUUAAUAGUAUUACGUAAUUUUAAUAAAAAUAUUUAAAACAUUUUGAUAAUUAGAUACUGAGUCUAGUAAUAUGAGAGGCAAAAGCUUAUUACCAAAGUACUUAAAAACUACUUAUUUCAAAUCAAAAUGACCUAUCGCUGAUGAAGGAUGUUGAUUGUUCGAUGAAUUUUUAUUGGUAAACUGAAUAUAUUCAAUGAUCAUAAAAGUUAAUGUAUCAAAAUCAAUGUUCAUACAGUAAACGCUUAAUGUGCGCGGUUUAUAUUCAUUAAAUACUGAAUAUAAUAAUCAUCAAUGGACUGCAAAAAUAUUAUAGAAAUUCACUCUUGUUUCCCGCUUUUAUUAAUCUUUGUAUUAAAUGCAAAAAGAUGAGUAUAAUUGAGGGCAGAUAUGAGCGAGGGUAAUUGAGUCAACGUACUUGAAGAGCGAUUAAUUUAAACAAAAUCUCAUCGGAUUUAACCGAAAUACAUCGAUUUACUGUGUCGUAUCAUUAAUUAUUUCAGGUUCACUGAUUUUUCAUCAAUAAUCUUGAAUGGACGACGAUAUGAAACGAGCGGAUUUACGAAAAAUUUGCGGCUAAAUUGGAAAAACGCGAUCCAAACGCAGUCGCGUAAUUAACGAUUUCAAGACGGGCUAAUAAAUUAUCUUGGAUCAUCUGUGUCAAUUGCAUGCAUAUUAAAUAGCAGGAUAUUAAAAUUACAUAGAAUUAUAAAUAAUUCAUAGAUUUUUCGCGUAGUUACCUUAAUUAGCAAUUAAGAUGUCACAUGGAUAUAAACACUACGGAGAUAAUCAAUUUUGAUGUUGUCACAGACAUUGUGUUUUUUAUCCAUUGGUUGGAAGAAACAAGAUACUGAACUUGUUGCGUAAGUGUUUUAACAUAAAAAAUUACUUAGUUUCAUUUAUCUAAACUGUUUUAUGAUACUCGAAAGAAAUAAAAACACGUCGAUAUCAGACUUAUCAUUAUAAUGUGAAAUAUAUUAUUUCUGUGUUCUGUAAGAUCUAGAAGCACAUUUAUAUUGAUGUAUGUGCCAACAUUAUAUCUAUCAUAUUAUUGAUAGCUUUCUUAUGUACUUAUAUAAACAAAGGAACUGGUAGGAUCUAUGUAGUUAGUUAACACACUAACAAUAUUAGUCAUUUAGCUUGUAACUGUCAUGUGCAAUGGAAUCUAAUGUUACUGAUUGGUGAAUCUUAUUCCAAUUAUACGAACGCUUACAAUUUUGCGUACGUUAGUAAGCAAAAGAAUGGGUAACAUACGUUCGAAUACAGUUAUUCGAACAUACCCUCCGGUUAUUUCAGUGACAAAUUAUAGAUAGUGAAGAAAAUCAGCGAUCUCCUGUUAUAAGAUGUCCAGUUAUCCAAAUCGUUUCCUCAGGUAUAAGUAGAAUUAAGUAAAAAUAAUGACAAGUAGGAUCCUACUGUCUACUACUCAUGUACAUAAUUCUACUUAAUAUAAUUCUACUACGAAAGUUUGAAACAUAUUGGGAUUCCAAAAGAAAUAAUGAUUUCCUCAAGUAGGUAAAUAUUUUAUACAUUAUAAUAUUUUAUAACAUUAAAACUGUAAUUAAUUAUACUUCAAAAUGGAGGUGAAAAUUAGGUAUAACGUUCUUAUAUCUCAGAAAAAUUAUACUCAAAAGUUUGUUUCGUUUAAGGAGUAAAAGAUAGUGCAAACUUCUGAGCAGACAAAAACGAAAAGAUCCGAUCGUUUAACGAAAUUUUAAAUCCAUGGCCGAAAGAAGUUACUAAUUUAGAAAUCGAUACAGUUAAAGAGUUAAUAAGCAUUGAGCCAUUACUUGGCCGAUAUGGCGUGCGUCGAAACUGUUAUUGUAACAGCACUUUAAUCGGACACGGGUGAAGCAAACGACGCUGAAACACAAAGUUUUCGAUGGAAUUGGAACGUCCGACGAUGAUUUCCGAAUCGUUAAACGGAAACUAUUCGCAUUAAAGAAGAAACCGACCGGUUGGAAGGGAAAAAUAAGCGGACCCCAGUUACUGCAUGGUCGUGACAGUCGAGGUAUGUUGUAGGUACCGUGUCGUUAAAUUAAAGGCAAAUUAACAGAGCAGUGGUGAAUAAUACACGCGUGGAAGAAUUUACGUAAAGUGUUACAUGCGCGUGUGCGCGGUACGCUCCGAUUCGAUUGAUGCGUGGAAGGUUAACGGGAAGAGACAAACAGCCGAAUCUGUUACGUGAAACGGGCUCUCGUGUGCGCCUGAUUCCCUCGAGAUUGUUUCCUAGAUAACUAUAUACACGUACAUUUGUUCGUUUUAUUCUUUUUUACGAAAGAACCGCACCCGUCUCUUUUAUGGCGCCGUAAAUUCCUUAUUUCUCACUGACGCUUUCGGCAGGAUGACAUGGAUUUGUCUCCGCAUAUGGGAUGCCAUACAAGUUAACAACUUCCUGAAUAGCCUAUUGAUGAAGAAAUCUUGAAUUCACUAACGAUCAAACGUUGAGAUUUUGGAAUGGUGUAAAUUAACGAAAUCUGAUGUGGAAAGAUUUUGGUAUACUGGUCUAUUUAUAUUUUAUACUCCUGCGAUUAAUUUAUUGUACGUCAUAAAUUAUAGUUUGUUAUAUUAUAUAUAAUGUAUUUUACACUGUUUUAACCCGAACUCUGAAUAUACAAAAUACGUGUUAAUAUAAAUAGACUGUCAUACUAAAAAUAUAUAUUCAAAGCGAUACGUGACUAAAUUAAAGAGAUAUUUCUAAUGUAACUCGAUAAAUUCUAUUUUUAUGUAUUCAAAUCGUUUGUAUGGACGUAAAUUUCAGAUUUCGAUUCAGUUAUCUGUGACUUCUAAACCAGUAAUUUAAAAGAACAGUCGGAAUUGAAAAAGUUUGAUAGAAUACAGCUCGCACCGAACGCGUUAAAAAGAUCCGAGUUAACAUUUCGACGUGAAACGCCUUCCAAGGAUUAUACCCGCGGUCUUCUUAUGCAAAUAAAAUUUUAUAUCUCCGCUA